UAGACUGGGCGUAGCCUGAUGCAGCGACGCCGCGUGGGUGAUGAAGGCCUUCGGGUUGUAAAGCCCUUUCGACGGGGACGAUGAUGACGGUACCCGGCGAAGAAGCACCGGCUAACUCCGUGCCAGCAGCCGCGGUAAGACGGAGGGUGCUAGCGUUGUUCGGAAUCACUGGGCGUAAAGGGCGCGUAGGCGGCUCGGCCUGUCGGCUGUGGAAACCCGGGGGUCAACCCCCGAAGGGG
rnacentral:rRNA from 1 species